rnacentral:lncRNA from 1 species
GGUGUUAGAUGUUUAGAUAUAAUGUGCUUGUCACGAGUUGUAACGUGUUCAGGUUGUUGUAACAACCUGAAUCUUCUCGGUUGUAAAUCCUAGUAGAGAUAAACUAGGAUCAUUUCUUGCUUAGCUUGCACGGCAAGCAUAUUGUAACAAACCUUGUAAUAUGUUUGGCAUUGCUGCUAUUUAACACGGAACCGUGGAGGCCAAGGGCAUCCCACGUUAACCCUAAACUUCACAGUUUGUGCAUGUACGGAUGACUGAAUUUUCAAUUAAUGAUGUUCCAUGCUUGAUAAAUGAUGAUGCCACUAGUCUGGUCCCUGAGAAAGAUUCAUGAAUCUGGCUCUCAUUGAUGAAGGCAAUGCUUCUGCACUGGGACAAGAAUGCCAUCUUUUGGUGUUAUAUUUCACUUCCAUGCAAAAUCCAUGACUAAUGGAGAUGGUAGUCUUUAUUAGUUUUCUUU